UGAGGAAUAUUGCUCAAUGGCCGCAAGGCUGAAGCAGCAACGCCGCGUGAGGGAUGAAGGUUCUAUGAAUCGUAAACCUCUGUAGAAGUGGAGAAAUGUCCCGAUUUAUCGGGAUUGAUAGUACACUUAAAGUAAGCCCCGGCUAACUACGUGCCAGCAGCCGCGGUAAUACGUAGGGGGCAAGCGUUGUCCGGAAUCACUGGGUGUAAAGGGUGCUCAGGCGGAUUUAUAAGUCACGGGUGAAACCCUGCGGCUUAACCGCAGAACUGCCUAUGAUACUGUAAAUCUAGAGUUCGGGAGAGGGUGAUGGAAUUCUUGGUGUAGCGGUGAAAUGCGUAGAUAUCAAGAAGAACACCAGUUGCGAAGGCGGUCACCUGGCCCGAUACUAACGCUCAAGCACGAAAGCGUGGGGAGCAAACAGG
rnacentral:rRNA from 1 species